CUCAAUGAUGAUCAACUAUUUUAUUAAUAACUUUCGUUCUACUGAUACGAUCAAACGAUCUUGUAGAGAACCUUUAGUAUCUGAUG
rnacentral:snoRNA from 1 species